CCUACGGGGUGCAGCAGUGGGGAAUAUUGGACAAUGGGCGAAAGCCUGAUCCAGCAAUGCCGCGUGUGUGAAGAAGGUCUUCGGAUUGUAAAGCACUUUCGACGGGGACGAUGAUGACGGUACCCGUAGAAGAAGCCCCGGCCAACUUCGUGCCAGCAGCCGCGGUAAUACGAAGGGGGCUAGCGUUGCUCGGAAUUACUGGGCGUAAAGGGCGCGCAGGCGGCUUUGUAAGUUGGGCGUGAAAGGCCUGGGCUUAACCCGGGAAUGGCGCUUGAGACUGCAAGGCUAGAGUACGGGAGAGGAUGGUGGAAUUCCCAGUGUAGAGGUGAAAUUCGUAGAUAUUGGGAAGAACACCGGUGGCGAAGGCGGCAACCUGGCUCGAUACUGACGCUGAGGCGCGAAAGCGUGGGGAGCAAACAGGAUUAGAUACCCUGGUAGUC
rnacentral:rRNA from 1 species